CCCACUGCAUGACAAGCCAAGAAACUAGAACAUUAUAAUAACCUCACCAUCUCUAGAGCUGCACUUAUAUUUUAUCUCUAAUGAGUACCAAGAAAUAAUAAUUACUAGGUACACCAAAUAAAUUCUUCAUAAUUAUUGAGCUAGCCCGUUUGGAUUAGACGAAUAAGAAGCUUGUUGGAGCUGAUUUAUUAUAAUAAGCAGUUACGUAUUUAAAUAAAAGUGACGAAGCUGAAAUGUCUUCCUUUCAAGAAACACCAUCCAUAGCUCCAGAUGGAUUUUCAGGGAAGGAUGAUAGGCUGCUAUAUUCUGGAAAUCAUAGUUUUGCUCUUCAUGGCCAAAUUAUGUUGCUCGUACUUGUAUUGCUCUUUACCAUUUUUCUAUUGUCUAUGAUUUUAUUGCUGUGUAUGAAGCAUUUACAUCUCAAUUGUACUGCCAAAUCCAACAUGAAUCCACCGGAGGAGGUCGUUCCAUCGACAUAUCCACCAACGUUUUCCCAUGUCAACCUAGUGGACAAGAACUUGCGUCGAUGUGUGGCUCCUAAGUCCUAUCACUCAAAAUGGGGAAUAAAUUUGAGGCUAUCAAUAAUGUUCUGUACUAUAUGUGAGAAUAUAAUUUAUUAAGGCUUCAAAGCUAUGUCGUUUAGAUUAAAUUUAUUAUCAAGACGGUGUAAGAAAAUUUUUCUAGCAUAUAUGCUGUUAUAUUUGCUCAGUUAAUACAUCAAUUUGUGAUCGACUAGGUGCAUCAACCAUCUUA